rnacentral:rRNA from 1 species
GACGAACGCUGGCGGCGUGCUUAACACAUGCAAGUCGAACGGAAAGGCCCUACUUUUGUGGGGUGCUCGAGUGGCGAACGGGUGCGUAACACGUGAGUAACCUGCCCUUGACUUUGGGAUAACUUCAGGAAACUGGGGCUAAUACCGGAUAGGAGCUCCUGCUGCAUGGUGGGGGUUGGAAAGUUUCGGCGGUUGGGGAUGGACUCGCGGCUUAUCAGCUUGUUGGUGGGGUAGUGGCUUACCCAGGGUUUGACGGAUAGCCGGCCUGAGAGGGUGAACAGCCACAUUGCGACUGAGGUACGGACCAGAUGGCUACGUGGGGCAGCGGUGGGAAAUCUUGCACAAUGGGCGGAAGCCUGUUGAAAAGACGCCGCGUGCGGAAUGACGGCCUUCGGGUUAAAAACAGCUUUCGCUUGUGACGAAGCGUGAGUGACGGUAAUGGAUAAAGAAGCACCGGCUAACUACGUG